rnacentral:tRNA from 1 species
AGGAAUGUAACUUAGUGGUAGAGUGCUAGCCUAGCAUGCUUGAGGUCCUGGGUCCAAUUCCUUGGUACCCA